UGCCUAAAUAUAACUCAAAAUACAUCAAGAAUAAACACAAAAUUAAGAAAUCCUUGUAACGAAUUAACUUACUUGUUGUAUAUUUGAGUAAAGCAUGUGCAGUGCGCUCAAAUCUUUACGAAGUUUACAAAUGUGCGUGUUUUGGCGAACGCAGUUUUAUAUCAAACUCAAAUCAAUCAGAUGUACGUGUUUACUCCGUUACAAAAUAUACCUCAACACACACAUACCUACAAAACAGUUGUUUUCCUGAGCAUUGUAUCGAUUUAUCCAUGGCAGAUAAAAGUGACCGUUGGUCUUACCCAAACGCGCGCUUUACCUCAGGCACUUUCGCGCGCCUGUCAGUUCACGCGCUAAUGUCAGUGAGUGAAGCGACUCCUACCUGCAUCGUGCUGGAUCGCUUUUGUCCUGUGGCUGUGAAUGCCCGGGUGAUGCAUCUCUCCCCGGCUUUCCCGACGCCGUCAGAAAUCCUUUGAACAGAAUCUGCUUUCAUUAGUGCAUGUGGUGGCCUUGAUGUCCAAGAGCAGCAUAGCUGGGCUUCCUUUGAACGAUGACUGCCUGGAUCCAAACCUCUCCAUCUACUAAUACAUCAACAUGAAAACCCACUGCAGCUCUAUUUCUAAUCGGUGAGGGUGAGAACCGAAUGGUCGGGACUGGAGAGACAGGAGCUGCGGCGGGACUUCAAAGGCUGUCCGCUCCACAGCUGGACGGCACGCUCCGGGGUCAUGACACCCUCGGGGUCAGAGUCCUCAUCCGAC